rnacentral:lncRNA from 1 species
AUGAGGGAGGGGAUGAGGCAGGAAUCAGGCAGGAAUCAGGCAGGAAUCAGGCUGGAAUCAGGCUGGGAUGAGGAUGGCAUCAGGCUGGAAUCAGGCUGGGAUGAGGCUGGGAUGAGGGAUUGGGAUGAGGCAUGGAAUCAGGCAGGAAUCAGGCUGGAAUCAGGCUGGGAUGAGGCACUGGAGCUCCGUUCCAGGGAGCAGCAGCACAGCUGCCCUCUCCUGGUGCCAGAUUCCUGCUGCUGCCCAGCCCAGGACAGCCCUGCACAUCCAGGGCUUGGGGUGCUGGGGACACAGGGACAGGGACAGCACCUCCUGAGCUCCUCCCCUGCCCUGAUUCCAGCUCAGCCCCGAGGGAACCGCUCUGGGCAUGGGAGGAAAAGGGAGCCGGGGUCCCGCUGUGCCUCUGCAGCCACCCCUUAAUUAACAACUGACCUAAUUAAGCACGCUCACACCCCAUCACUGAGGUUGGAAAAGACCUUUAAGGUCAUCCAGUCCAACCACUGCCACAUCCACCAUGGUGUCCCCAAGCGCCACCUGACCGAGGCCACCACCAGGACCCUCCGAGCUUUACAAUUGAACAACACAUUAUCAUUAUUAUUAUAAUUAUAAUUAUAAUUUUUAAAUAACUGCUAAGCAGGGCAGGUGGGAGCUGAGUGGCUGCAGGGCUGCCUGGGGGUGGCAGCUGUCCCCAGGGUCACUGCAUGUAGGCGUAGCGCCAGUCCCGCAGCGGCACGUGCGUCUCCUUGAUGGCCUGAGGGGACGUCCAGCGCAGGAUGUAGUGGGGACCCCCGGGCUUGUCAUUGGUGCCUGUGAGGGGACGGCAGAAAGGGCUGGGGACAGCACCCAGGGUGGCAGGGACAGCACCCAGGGUGGCAGGGACAGCACCCAGGGUCACGGGGGGGUGGGAGGGACAUGGAGGGAUGGGGACACGGAGGGACAUGGGACAGGAGGGACAGGGAGGGACACAGAGCACAAGAGGGACACGGAGCACAGGAGGGACAUGGGACAGGAGGGACAGGGAGGGAUGGCAGGGACACAGAGGGACAUGGAGCACAGGAGGG